rnacentral:rRNA from 1 species
AUUGAACGCUGGCGGCAUGCUUUACACAUGCGAGUCGAACGGUAACAGGCCUUCGGGUGCUGACGAGUGGCGAACGGGUGAGUAAUGCAUCGGAACGUACCCAGAGGUGGGGGAUAACGCAGCGAAAGCUGUGCUAAUACCGCAUGUGAUCUGAGGAUGAAAGCGGGGGACCGAGCAGCAAUGUUUGGCCUCGCGCCUUUGGAGCGGCCGAUGUCGGAUUAGCUAGUUGGUGGGGUAAAGGCCUACCAAGGCGACGAUCCGUAGCUGGUCUGAGAGGACGACCAGCCACACUGGGACUGAGACACGGCGCAGACUCCUACGGGAGGCAGCAGUGGGGAAUUUUGGACAAUGGGCGCAAGCCUGAUCCAGCAAUGCCGCGUGCGGGAAGAAGGCCUUCGGGUUGUAAACCGCUUUUGGCAGGAACGAAACGGUGUCCGCUAAUACCGGGCGCUAAUGACGGUACCUGCAGAAUAAGCACCGGCUAACUACGUG